rfam:Rattus norvegicus chromosome 2, whole genome shotgun sequence.
GGGGAUUUAGCUCAGUGGUAGAGCGCUUGCCUAACAAGCGCAAGGCCCUGGGUUCGAGGUCCCCAGCUCCG